rnacentral:rRNA from 1 species
GACGAACGCUGGCGGCGUGCUUAACACAUGCAAGUCGAGCGAAUCACUGGGAGCUUGCUCCCGGUGGUUAGCGGCGGACGGGUGAGUAACAUGUGGGCAACCUGCCUGUAAGACUGGGAUAACACCGGGAAACCGGUGCUAAUACCGGAUAAUCCUUUUCUUCUCAUGAGGAAAAGCUGAAAGUCGGUUUCUGCUGACACUUACAGAUAGGCCCGCGGCGCAUUAGCUAGUUGGUGAGGUAACGGCUCACCAAGGCGACGAUGCGUAGCCGACCUGAGAGGGUGAUCGGCCACACUGGGACUGAGACACGGCCCAGACUCCUACGGGAGGCAGCAGUAGGGAAUCUUCCACAAUGGACGAAAGUCUGAUGGAGCAACGCCGCGUGAGCGAUGAAGGCCUUCGGGUCGUAAAGCUCUGUUGUUAGGGAAGAACAAGUACCGGAGUAACUGCCGGUACCUUGACGGUACCUAACCAGAAAGCCACGGCUAACUACGUGCCAGCCGCCGCCGUAA